UACGGAGGGGGCUAGCGUUGUUCGGAAUUACUGGGCGUAAAGGGCACGUAGGCUGGCUGUUAAGUCGGGGGUGAAAUCCUGAGGCUCAACCUCAGAAUUGCCUCCGAUACUGGCGGUCUCGAGUGCGGGAGAGGUGAGUGGAAUUCCCAGUGUAGAGGUGAAAUUCGUAGAUAUUGGGAAGAACACCAGUGGCGAAGGCGGCUCACUGGCCCGCAACUGACGCUGAGGUGCGAAAGCGUGGGGAGCAAACAGG
rnacentral:ncRNA from 2 species